rnacentral:rRNA from 1 species
UACGUAGGGUGCGAGCGUUGUCCGGAAUUAUUGGGCGUAAAGAGCUUGUAGGCGGUCUGUCGCGUCUGCUGUGAAAAUCCGGGGCUCAACCCCGGACUUGCAGUGGGUACGGGCAGACUAGAGUGUGGUAGGGGAGACUGGAAUUCCUGGUGUAGCGGUGAAAUGCGUAGAUAUCAGGAAGAACACCCGUGGCUAAGGCGGCUCUC